GCGUAUAGACAGUGCAAAAAGUGAAAUAAAAAAAUUAAAGUUCAAGCAUUUGCGAGAAUUUAAGUACUUCCAUUUAAUAAAAAUAAAAUUGUGAGAAAUUUAUAGAAUUAAGAAGUUUCAAAAACGGUUUAGAAACAGGUUUAAGGAUAAAGACUUUAGGAGAAAUGGAAGGUAGAACAGAAGAAGUGUUCCAAGUUACUACGCACUAUAUACAUUUUCUUUAUAUACGUUCGCUUUUUAGUAAAUAUUUCUUGCUGUAGAUAAAUUUAUUGACUAGGAGAUUUUUGAUAUCAAAUAAACUUUGUUAAUUUCCCAAGAAGAAGGACUCCAACAGAAAGCCAAGCCAGUAGCUGAGAUACAUCCUAUCUUGAGGAACUCCUCACCAGUCAUUCCUUCAGGGGCAGAAGAUGAAGAUUCUGAGAGUAGUGAUUCUUCUGAUGACUCCCAGAAUCCUUUGCCCAAAAGUCCAUCUGUCAGAGAUAGUACUGAGCACUUCUUUGACUUCCUGAAGGCUCAGUUCAUCGAAAGGAAUUUACCAAAAGAGACUCUGGUUGAAUUUGCCAAAAUUUCAACUGAAUUCCUCAAGAAACUGGAUCAGGAUAAAUAAAAAGUACUAAAAAUCUCAAAAAGUGUCUUAAUUCUGCAUAACGUCUUUACAGACCGUUUUUGA